rnacentral:rRNA from 1 species
GAUGAACGCUGGCGGCGUGCCUAAUGCAUGCAAGUCGAACGGUACUCUGAUUUCGGUUGGAGUGCAGUGGCGAACGGCUGAGUAACACAAAGGUAACCUACCCCCCAGUGGGGAAUAUCUCCGAGAAAUCGGAGCCAAUACCGCAUGUCGUCCUCACACGCGAGUGUGAUGAUGAAAGCCUUCGGGCGCUGGAGGAUGGGCUUUUGCCCCAUCAGGCAGUUGGCAGGGUAACGGCCUACCAAACCUAAGACGGGUAGCUGGUCUGAGAGGAUGGUCAGCCAGAUGGGGACUGAGAUACGGCCCCAAUCCUACGGGUGGCUG